GCUGGUCCAGGGGAGAUCUGCAUGUUGAUUCGGCACAAGUUUCAAUCCAGAUGCCCUCCCUGACACAACGCCACAUUAUUUGGAGA